rnacentral:rRNA from 1 species
GCCUACCUAAAUACCCGCAAGGCACCAAAUCCCAUUUGACCUUUGAAACUAGGCAGUGUCAGCCCUAGUUAGUACUUGGAUGGGGGACCACAGAUUAAUACCAGGUGUUGUAGGGU